rnacentral:rRNA from 1 species
GACGAACGCUGGCGGCGUGCUUAACACAUGCAAGUCGAACGGAAAGGCCCUGCUUUUGUGGGGUGCUCGAGUGGCGAACGGGUGAGUAACACGUGAGUAACCUGCCCUUGACUUUGGGAUAACUUCAGGAAACUGGGGCUAAUACCGGAUAGGAGCUCCUGCUGCAUGGUGGGGGUUGGAAAGUUUCGGCGGUUGGGGAUGGACUCGCGGCUUAUCAGCUUGUUGGUGGGGUAGUGGCUUACCAAGGCUUUGACGGGUAGCCGGCCUGAGAGGGUGACCGGCCACAUUGGGACUGAGAUACGGCCCAGUCUCCUACGGGAGGCAGCAGUGGGGAAUAUUGCACAGUGGGCGGAAGCCUGAUGCAGCAACGCCGCGUGCGGGAUGACGGCCUUCGGGUUGUAAACCGCUUCCGCCUGUGACGAAGCGUGAGUGACGGUAAUGGGUAAAGAAGCACCGGCUAACUACGUG